GACGAACGCUGGCGGCGCGCCUAACACAUGCAAGUCGAACGAGCGAGAGAGAGCUUGCUUUCUCGAGCGAGUGGCGAACGGGUGAGUAACGCGUGAGGAACCUGCCUCAUACAGGGGGAUAACAGUUAGAAAUGACUGCUAAUACCGCAUAAGACCACAGGGUCGCAUGACCCGGUGGUAAAAACUCCGGUGGUAUGAGAUGGACCCGCGUCUGAUUAGCUAGUUGGUGGGGUAACGGCUCACCAAGGCGACGAUUGGUAGCCGGACUGAGAGGUUGAACGGCCACAUUGGGACUGAGACACGGCCCAG
rnacentral:rRNA from 1 species